rnacentral:rRNA from 1 species
GGCGAAAGCCUGAUCCAGCAAUGCCGCGUGCAGGAUGAAGGCCUUCGGGUUGUAAACUGCUUUUGUACGGAACGAAAAGCUUCGGGUUAAUACCCUGGAGCCAUGACGGUACCGUAAGAAUAAGCACCGGCUAACUACGUGCCAGCAGCCGCGGUAAUACGUAGGGUGCAAGCGUUAAUCGGAAUUACUGGGCGUAAAGCGUGCGCAGGCGGUUUUGUAAGACAGAGGUGAAAUCCCCGGGCUCAACCUGGGAACUGCCUUUGUGACUGCAAGGCUAGAGUACGGCAGAGGGGGAUGGAAUUCCGCGUGUAGCAGUGAAAUGCGUAGAUAUGCGGAGGAACACCGAUGGCGAAGGCAAUCCCCUGGGCCUGUACUGACGCUCAUGCACGAAAGCGUGGGGAGCAAACAGGAUUAGAUACCCUGGUAGUCCACGCCCUAAACGAUGUCAACUGGUUGUUGGGUCUUAACUGACUCAGUAACGAAGCUAACGCGUGAAGUUGACCGCCUGGGGAG